rnacentral:rRNA from 1 species
UACGUAGGGGCCGAGCGUUGUCCGGAAUUAUUGGGCGUAAAGGGCUCGUAGGCGGUCUGUUGCGUCGGGAGUGAAAACUUACAGCUUAACUGUGAGCGUGCUUUCGAUACGGGCAGACUUGAGGCAUUCAGGGGAGAACGGAAUUCCUGGUGUAGCGGUGAAAUGCGCAGAUAUCAGGAGGAACACCUGCGGUGUAGACGGCUUUCUGGACCAUUGCUGACGCUGAGACACGAAAGCGUGGGUAGCAAACAGG